UACGUAGGGUGCAAGCGUUGUCCGGAAUUAUUGGGCGUAAAGAGCUCGUAGGCGGCUUGUCACGUCGGCUGUGAAAACCUGGGGCUCAACCCCGGGCCUGCAGCCGAUACGGGCAAGCUAGAAUCCGGUAGGGGAGACUGGAAUUCCUGGUGUAGCGGUGAAAUGCGCAGAUAUCAGGAGGAACACCGGUGGCGAAGGCGGGUCUCUGGGCCGAUAUUGACGCUGAGGAGCGAAAGCGUGGGGAGCGAACAGG
rnacentral:rRNA from 1 species